CAUUUUAAUCAAUUGGAGCAUUGUAGUAUUUUCGGAGCUUGAAGGUUGAGGUAUAUUGGCUAAACCACUCUCUUAGAAUUGAAUUCCAUGAUGUUCCCGUAAGUUUCAAGUAUGGUUUGUUUAAGUUCCUUAUUCCCAUGUUCCGAGUUGUUCCCAAUAAAUUCGAUUGUCCCAAAUGAGAAAAGUAUCAAGAAUUAUGUAUUCAAAACGUGUUUCGAAUGUUCCUGUUAUCUUUUGGGAAUGUAUUCAAGAAUGAUAUGUGUAUUCGAAUGCUAUGUCUUUGAGUUAUGUUUCAAAUGAAGGUUAUGAUGCCAAAUUGUGUGAGAAAAUAUCAAUAUGCUUAAUAUUCUUAAAUCCUCACAUGUGUACCUAAAGUCUUGAUCGGAAAUGUCCUAUUGUUGAUAAUCUAUAAAGAUAGUUGAAGUGAAAUAAGUGAAUUAGGGAUAUAAAGUGUGGCCAAUAUGCCAGAGGCUUGAUGAUAUUAUGAACAUAUGUACCUAUGCACGAUAUGACAUUCAUACGCAUAUGCAUGAUACUAUAAGAAUUUCAUGAUUUAAAGAGUUAUUCAAACUUACAGGUUGAGUCACUUACUCUAUAUUUCUUUCAUGUCUUUUGUAUACUUAUUUAUGUGUCUUACAUACUCGGUACAUUAUUCGUACUGACCUCCCUUUGCCUGGGGAUGCUGCGUUUCAUGCCCGCAGGUCCUGAUAGACAGGUCGAGCGUCUUCCAAGUAGGCUAUCAGCUCAGCGGAAGAUGUUGGUACGCUCCAUUUGCUCCGUAGUUGCUUGUUUGGUUAAUAUGAUUUAGACAUGUAUUGAUUGGUAUGUCGGGGCCCUGUCUCGGCCUUAUGAUGUUUAUGUACUCUUAGAGGCUUGUAGACAUAUGUCAUGUAUAUGAAAGUUUGUAUGGCCUUGUCGGCCUAUGUUUAGUGUACGAAUGAUUAUUUUGGCCAUAUAGGCCCGUACGCCAUACGUAUAAGUUCGGAUUACAUGUUGGGU
rnacentral:lncRNA from 1 species